GAGGCUCCACAUUUUCAUUUUGCGCUGGGCCUCACAAGUGAUGUAGCCAGUGCUACAGAGGCCAUUGGGAAUCAAAAGAUGAACUUUCAGGCUGUAUUUGGCAGAUGCAUGGGCCCAGUGGUGAACUCUAAUGGGUACCAAAAGCAGCAUUCACUAGAAGAUGGCCUCCAGGAACCCUUCAGCAACAAAAGAUCAAAGUGCCUUCAGGCUUCCCAAUAACUGCCUACAACAGUGAAUGGCCUUUUCUGCCAUUCCCAAUGAGUAAGCUUUAAAAAAAAACAGAAGAUCUGGCAACAUUGGGCCACCUUAUGUUCACCUGGCAACAAUCAGCUGAACCAAGAAAUCACUGAGCCCUUUAAACCUCCCAGCUCACUACCGUCCAGCAUCUUCAGUCCCUAUGACAUUGUAUCUGCCCUCUUUCACUCAUUUGGAUAUCCAGUGGUCCCUGAAGGCAUCUGAAUUGGUGACCUCUGUACCAAAGAUGUGAGAAACAGUCAUUAAAUAUGCAGCAACCUGGAAUGAGGGGUGGCCCAGCAUUUGAAUGCCAGAGAAGGCCUUGAUAGUCACAUAUCCUUUGCCAGCACUGUAUACUAGACAUGAGAGAUGGAGCAGGCCCUGCAUCAAAUUCCUUUUAGCCUUUUUCCUGC
rnacentral:lncRNA from 1 species